AGAAGAGGGCACACAUAGGCGACAGGUCACUGGUGAUCACUCACUCCCACUAGGGUGAGGGGAGGAGGGAUGAUGUGGGCUGGGCUGCUGAAGCCACAAACCAAAGCACAGCUGCAGAGAGAUCAAUUAGCAUGAGGCCCUAGAUACUCACGGUGGCUGCUACAUAUUUUUGCAGACUGACCUCAAUUGAGGAAGACAAACUGAAGAAAAAAGAUCCGGAUACAACAAUGUUGAGGAUACUACAGUGAGCAACAGAGACAUGGUCACUGCAUCCUAGACCCCCUCAAAGGAGAAACAGUUUUGAUACCUAAGUUCAAAAGAAGAGGCUGUUCUAAGAAAGACUACUGAGUAAUCAAUCACCUCCUCAGAGAAAGUCUGCUCAGGUAACUCUACUCCCACCAGCCCUGCACUUGGUUCCUUGCAUUGCCUCUGGCUGGAAGCUGUUGUCCCCAACUUCAGAAAGUGUCUGCAGAUUUCACAGGCUCUCUCUUGGGUCAAGGGACCAGCUCUGUGAACAUGGCAAGUAAUAACACACAGAAAACGUGAGGAGAAAAGAGACACUGGGAUUUUGAAAUCCUGUAUCCUGAAUGCCAUCUCACCAGGCACACGAAAGAAUAAAAUUAAGUACUUUCUUUCAAAAGCUAAAGUCGUCUGGGCAACUCUGUUUUCAUCGCUAACC